UGGGGAAUAUUGCACAAUGGGCGCAAGCCUGAUGCAGCAAUGCCGCGUGUGGAAGAAGGCCUGCGGGUUGUAAAGCACUUUUAUUAGGAAAGAAAAACCCGGAGCUAAUACCUCCGGCAUUGACGGUACCUAAAGAAUAAGCACCGGCUAACUCAGUGCCAGCAGCCGCGGUAAUACUGAGGGUGCAAGCGUUAAUCGGAAUUACUGGGCGUAAAGCGAGUGUAGGCGGCUAUUUAAGUCGGAUGUGAAAUCCCCGGGCUCAACCUGGGAAUUGCAUUCGAAACUGAAUAGCUAGAGUUUGGUAGAGGUAAGUGGAAUUCCGGGUGUAGCGGUGAAAUGCGUAGAUAUCCGGAGGAACAUCAGUGGCGAAGGCGGCUUACUGGACCAAAACUGACGCUGAGGCUCGAAAGCGUGGGGAGCAAACAGGAUUAGAUACCCUGGUAGUCCACGCCCUAAACUAUGUCAACUAGACGUUGGGUUCAUUAAGGAACUUAGUGUCGAAGCUAACGCGUUAAGUUGACCGCCUGGGGAGUACGGCCGCAAGGUG
rnacentral:rRNA from 1 species